rnacentral:rRNA from 1 species
UACGGAGGGUGCAAGCGUUAUCCGGAUUCACUGGGUUUAAAGGGUGCGUAGGUGGGUCUGUAAGUCAGUGGUGAAAUCUCCAGGCUUAACCUGGAAACUGCCAUUGAUACUAUAGGUCUUGAAUUAUCUGGAGGUCAGCGGAAUAUGUCAUGUGAGCGGUAGAAAUGCUUAGAUAUGACAUAGAACACCGAUUGCGAAGGCAGCUGGCUACAGGUAUAUUGACACUGAGGCACGAAAGCGUGGGGAUCAAACAGG